ACCGUACGGCAAUUGGAAAUUUCAGUUCUUGAAUGUAAUGGAAGACCAGAACCCUUCAGCUAACAACACCAGAGAUACUGAAUGUACAAUUACAGUAGAUGAAGAUCAUCAUCUGUAUUUCGAUGGUCGCCGAAUACAUAGAGUGCCCGAAGUAAUGCGAUUAAAGAAACACAAAGAAGAGGAUUACUACGCUCCUAAGAUUGUUUCCUUUGGACCUUAUUACCAUGGCUCGUCAGAACUUCGCAUGGCAGAAGGACUCAAGCCUGAAGUCCUCACAGACUUUGUUUCACGCAGCGGCAAAGACAGAGAAUUUUUCUACUGCCAGAUCUUUAAAGUGAUCGACCAGAUUAGAAUUUGUUACGUUGGGGUUUCUAGAGAUGAAUAUGAUGAUCGAGCACUAGCAGAAAUGAUGCUUCUAGAUGCAUCUUUCGCUAUAUAUCUUAUGAUGAUUUUUGUGGGAGAUGUUAGAAAACAUGUCCACUUCUGCCAACAUCUUGGAAUGGCUUUAUAUACAUUUGCAUUCCAGGAUCUGAUUUUACUUGAGAAUCAAAUUCCACUCUGGGUUAUUAAGCACUUGACUACAUUAAUAUAUGGCAAACGAGAAGAAGGGGCUAAGUUAAUUUGUGAUUUCUUAAGUACAGCGAGUUUCGGGGAAAAGAAGCUAACAAAAAUUCCUAGAAAAGAUGGAAGGCAACCACUUCACCUUCUGGAUGCCGCUCAUAGAAUAUAUCUCCAAGAAUUUGAUAAUUCAGGAGAACUUGUCGAAGAUUUGGUUAAUGAAGAAAAAAAGCCUGUUAGCAAAUGUCUAUGGUGCCCUUGGAGUGAACACAAUCGUCAAUCUCGUUCAGUCACUGAUCUUAAAGCAAAAGGCAUCCACUUCAAGCCUAGUUCACAUUGUUUAAAGAAUAUUAAGUUCAAAUCCUACAAAUAUUAUGGGCAACUUGAACUCCCUGUUUGGUUUUUCACUGUCAAUUCCAAGCCAUUCUUUACGCAGAUGAUUGCAUACGAGGCAUCUCCAGAAAUCAACACUGGCAAUGUUAUAUUGUGUUAUGUUAAUUUCUUGAAGUCGCUCAUUGUUAAACCUGAAGACGUGAAAGAACUGCGAGAAAAGAAGAUACUCUUUAGCACCCUCGACACUGACGAGCAAGUUAUGAAACUAAUCAAAGAGAUUGACAAUUACGGACUUGAAGAUGACUGGAUUUUUGAUGAUGUGAGGAUAAGAAUUGAGAAGCACAGCAACAACAAGGCAAAAACAUGGGUUAGUGAAUUAAUUAACACUUACUUUCACAGUCCAUGGACUCUUGUUGCCUUACUCGCUGCCACUUUUCUUCUUUGCUUAAAUAUUCUCCAGACCUAUUACGCAAUGAAUCCUCCUAGGUAAAGGCAUGCACCAAAUUCCAUUCAAGUUUUAGUUGAUAUGUGUUUCGACUCUUCCAAAUAAGAGAGAGAUUGAAAACAAUGGUUAUAAGCUCUUGAAGUCAUAUUUUGAAUGCUAAGAAUCCGGGGACAAACUAUACCCUCAAGAUGUUAGCUGAAUUGCCUUGCCCAGAAGAUUUCAAUUACAGCACCAUUGUUUCAGAAAGAAAAGUAAGAGAAGGGUGUGCAAAUUAAUGUUUCUAGUCAAUUAACUAUUCACGAUAGUUAAUAUCACUUGUUCAAGAUGAGUUGAUAGAAACGUCAACAUCUUAUUAAAGGAAAAACCAGUAGUGCAAGGACUUGGGGAAAUAAGAUUGGGAAAUGAUUUUGUUUAUGGGUAUCUACCACAGCUCUAAUCCAAUAAA